rnacentral:lncRNA from 1 species
UGGCUAUGACAUAAGCCAGAAGAAGAGUAGAUGAAUGAAUUAAAACUUGCCAAUUAAUUCACAUGCUGCUUCUGGCUGUUUUGAACAGAAAGGAUACAGAAAAGGAAAGGAAAAUUCAUUCAUCACUUCACUGCAAAAGAAAUGAGAGCAUUAACAUUAGCCUCUUCAUUUUUCUCUCACCCUUCAUCUAAUUCCUCUCCAUUUGCUACAUAUGUAGCCCUCAUUAAAACAUUAUCCCCCCACUACUGAAAAGGCUAAGGCUAUGCUCUCAUUCAUCCUAACUACAAAAUGUAAGAUAUAGUAAAAGAUAAAGGAUACAAAGAGAAAGAAAAAACAUAAUUAAUGAACACAAAGUUAUGCACUAGAAUUUAACAUAAAAAAAUUAAACCACCUACCAUGGAUGGAAGAGUACUACACUACUUAAUUAUGAAGAGGGUUUGGACCAGUGUGAAUUAUUCUUUUAUCAUCUCCAUAAAGAGUGUUAUUUUGGUCACCAUUAUUUGUGCUCACAAACCGUGCUUGAGUAGUAGUAGUAGUAGUGCUUGAUGAUGGUGAUGCAUGAAACAUUGUCUUCCUUAAACUAUGUUCACCAUUAAUUGUAAGGUUUCUUCUGCUACUGCUCCUGUUACUGUUUUCAUUGUGAAUGGACAAAAACAAGCUUAUAAGAGCAAAAACUAAGAUUACCCAGAAGAAGAAAAUUGCAGCUUUAGCCCAAUAAAGCCUUCUAGUUUCUCUUGUCCUUUCCUUUUC